GCCAGCUUAGCUCAGUGGCAGAGCGUUUGUCUUGUAAACAAAAGGUCACUCGUUCAAACCGGGUAGUUGGCU